CAAUAGCGUAUAUUAAAGUUGUUGCGGUAAAAAGCUCGUAGUUGGAUUUCUACCGAAGAUAGCCGGUCGGGUCUUCGACCUUGUAUCUGGUUUUGUCUUUGGUAUCCUCAUAGGGAACGUUUCUGCGCUUUAUUGCGUGGUGCGGUAUCUAUGACUUUUACUUUGAGGAAAUUAGAGUGUUCACGGCAGGCAAACGCCUUGAAUAUAUUAGCAUGGAAUAAUAACAUAGGAUCUUCGUCCUAUUUUGUUGGUUUCUAGGGCUAAGAUAAUGAUUAAUAGGGAUAAUUGGGGGCAUCUGUAUCAACGCGUCAGAGGUGGAAUUCUUGGAUUGUGUUGCGACAAACUACUGCGAAAGCAUUUGCCAAGGAUGUUUUCAUUGA
rnacentral:rRNA from 1 species